UCCAGACUCCUACGGGAGGCAGCAGUGAGGAAUAUUGGUCAAUGGGCUUACGCCUGAACCAGCCAAGUCGCGUGAGGGAAGACUGCCCUAUGGGUUGUAAACCUCUUUUGUCAGGGAGCAACGCCGGCUACGUGUAGCCGGACUGAGAGUACCUGAAGAAAAAGCAUCGGCUAACUCCGUGCCGGCAGCCGCGGUAAUACGGAGGAUGCGAGCGUUAUCCGGAUUUAUUGGGUUUAAAGGGUGCGUAGGCGGGCUUUUAAGUCAGCGGUAAAAAUUCGGGGCUCAACCCCGUCCGGCCGUUGAAACUGGGGGCCUUGAGUGGGCGAGAAGAAGGCGGAAUGCGUGGUGUAGCGGUGAAAUGCAUAGAUAUCACGCAGAACGCCGAUUGCGAAGGCAGCAUACCGGCGCCCAACUGACGCUCAGGCACGAAAGCGUGGGUAUCGAACAGGAUUAGAUACCCUAGUACA
rnacentral:rRNA from 1 species